CCCCCAUGGCAAUGGGCAAAGAGACACCUUGUUGGUGGUAUUCUUGCAUCAGUCAGGGGCAGAGCAGAUGGCAGUCCUUUGUUUAUCCUAGCUUGAUGCUUGGUUUAGUGGCCAAAGCUGUCUUAGGCUUAAGACUCAUAA